ACGAGAACUCACCACCAAAGCACAAUUUCUUCUCCCUCUUUUCUUCAUUUCCAUAUCUUCCCUCUACCAUAACUUAGGUUCUAACAGUUGGUUUCUCAAAUUGAAGCUACCUAGGCCUUCCGGACUUCAAGAGGAGCAUUUCUACCGAUUGAAUCUCCAUUUCAUCUAACGGGUAAGAAAACCCCUUUCUCCAUUGUUCCUAGGGUUGUAAACAUGCAAUUUCUUGCUACAAGCAACCCAUUUCGUUUUCUUCCAUAAUCUAGCUUCUAUUUGGUUCUAAAAUUCGUUCUCCAUCAUCAAUUGAUGAUUUUAGGUGAUUCUCACACUUUGGGUUCAAAGUACUUGGUCUACGAUCAUUCCUUGAGUUGGUCGUGCACCCUAGAGGUAAGGGGAGCUAGUUCUUCUUUUCAUUUUAGUGGUAUGCCUUGAAUGUAUGAUAAUUUUGAUGUUGUAUGUUGUUGGAGGCAUGAAAUUGGUUAUAUAGACUUGAAAUGCAUGAAUGGAAAUGUGUAUGUUGUGUGAAUUUGAUGACUGAUGAUUAUGAACUGUUUGGGACGUUUUUGAAUGAUGAAUUAUGCAUGUUGGAACUGUUUUGGUGGGGAAAUUUGUUGUGGCACUAUUUGGAAGGGAAUCAAAGAUCUUAGGGUCACUUUUUAGUCAUUUUAGAGGAAGUGAGGUAGUGAUUUUGAGUAAAUGGGGUUUGUCACGUUUUUGGACUGUUGGGACAACUUCAUGCAAUGUAUUGUAACUUGUUUGAGUCACUAAAUUGGUCAAAAUAAGUACCAAAUGGUAAGAUUGGGUUUUGGGUCCCUAAGUUGGGAAAAUGAGUGUUUUAGAGUUGAAAGGAAGCUUAAAUCACUUUAGAAAUGUGUUAGUAAUGUUUAGAAUCACUUAGAUAAGUUUAAUUAUGUCUAAAACAAAGAUUAGGAGUGUUAGAAGUUGGCAAAAGUGGUUGAAAAUGGUCUUAGCUGGUUCUGUCGAGUUCUGCAUAAUUCUGCAAAACUCUGUAUAAUUCUGCAGAGUUUGGCCGUCCAGUUUGGAUGGCCUUGGUCAGAGAAGGUUCUCCCUUCUCCUGAUCGUUCGGUUUGGUAGGCCUGGUCAGGGAAGGAUGACUCCUUCACUUGACCGUCCGGUUUGGAGGUCUUGGUCAGAGAAGAUUCCCCCUUCUCUUGACCGUUCGGUCUGGUUACCUUGGUCAGAGAGGGUAUUCCCUUCUCAUGACCGUUCGGUUAGCUUUGCUUUCUGCCAUGGGAGGAUUUUGUUCACCCCAUAACCGUCCGGUCCUGAUCUAUUUCUAUCUUAGGUGUGCUUUCGGUCAGAGAAGGUUUCCCUUCUCUUGACCGUACGGUCUGGUCUCCUUGGUCAGAGAAGGAUCCCCCUUCUCUUGACCGUUCGGUCAUGGAGCUUUGGUGAGAGAAGGAUGUUUCCUUCUCAAACCGUCUGGUCAUGGAACCCUGGUCAGAGAAGGUUCUCCCUUCUCUUGACCGUUCGGUUUGGCACUGCAGGUCAGAGUGAGGUCCUUUCUUCUCUUGAUCGUUCGGUCUGGCAGGUGUGCUUUCGGUCAGAGAAGGUAUUUCUUUCUCUUGACCGUCCGGUCUGAGUCUUGGUUAGAGAAGGAGGUUUCCUUCUCAACCGUUCGGUCUGGUGAAUCUUCGUUAGAGAGGGAAGCUUCCUUCUCAACCGUUCGGUCUGGUGAGUUUUGGUUAGAGAAGGAGGUUUCUUUCUUAAACCGUCCGGUUUAGUAGGUUCUGAGUCAGGGAAGGUGAUUCCUUCUCAUGACCGUUCGGUCAAAUAUGGUUAUGGUAAGUUGUUUUUUCGCAUGACCGUUCGGUCAGAUAUACUUUCGGCCAGGGAAGGAUUGUUCCAUCUCGUAACCGUUCGGUCUGGCCAGGGUGCCUGUUAAUGGUACCCAAUUCAAUCCCAAUGGUUCGGUCACUGCUACUAGUGUUCGGUUUAUUGCUUAGAGCUUGUGGUUGGUUGGUUUAUCUGAUUGUUUGUGGCAAAUUAAGGUGUGUAUGAUUUAUAUGACUCGGAAAAGUAUCAAGUAAUUGGAUUGGUUGGAUUCGGUUGCGAAAUUAAGAUCUCUCGGUGGGAUCAAUUAGUGUAUUGAAUGUAUGUAAGAGGCUUCCACUAUGGGGGGUUAUCCCUAACACUCUAACGGUCUUUCAUUCUCACUUAGAGAGGAUUGACGCGUGUGGUGAGAGUAGUGGGAGGUCCUAGGGUAGGCGCUUUCACUGUAGGCCUAUACUGCGGUAACGGACCAGCCUUGUGUAUGGUCGGGUGGAACCCCUCGGCAAUGGCUUUGCAAAGCAGUAGGGCCAUCACAAGUGCACAACCCGCCUCAGCUCUAUAUACAUUCUAUGUCCGGACGUGUCUAGGAGUCUUAACAUGACAUGAUGUUUGCUUUAGUAAGUUUUGUGAAAUCAAUGUUUAUGUUUAUGAUGACUUAUAUGUUUAAGUGUGUAUGAACGUUUCUUGCAAUGAAUUGUAUGUUUGUUUGAAAACUAGCUCACCCUUGCACUUGUAUGUUGUGUGUGUUUACUUCCUCCCUUGCGAUGAUCAUCCAAUCCUUUGGAUGUGAGCAGUAGGUGAUGCGGUACCCUUGGAGCAGGCGUGGGAGGCUGAGGAAGAUCCAACACCUAGUGCUUAGGCAAUCAUGUUGUUUAUUUCUUUUUAGCUUAUCAUAUUUUGCAAAACCUUGGACCUUUGUACUUGAGUUACUUGUCGUUUUAAUUUCCCCUCUAUUUUGGAUGACUGUAAUUUAUACCUAUACAGUUAUCUUCUACUCCUAACUGCUUCCCAUUAUUAUAAUAUGUUACAUUCCAUUUGGUA
rnacentral:lncRNA from 1 species